AUACUUACCUGGCAGGGGAGUCUUAGCCAUGAUCACUAAGGUGGCUCUCCCUGGGCAAGGCUGGUUCAUUGCACUCUGAGCCAGCUGACCUCUGCGAUUUCCCCACAUGUGGGAAUCUCGACUGCAGAAUUUAUUGUAGUGAGGGACUGUGUGAUCACUUUCCCCUG